rnacentral:rRNA from 1 species
AUUGAACGCUGGCGGCAUGCCUUACACAUGCAAGUCGAACGGUAACAGGUCUUCGGAUGCUGACGAGUGGCGCACGGGUGAGUAAUACAUCGGAACGUGCCCAGACGUGGGGGAUAACGAGGCGAAAGCUUUGCUAAUACCGCAUACGAUCUAAGGAUGAAAGCAGGGGACCGCAAGGCCUUGUGCGUUUGGAGCGGCCGAUGGCAGAUUAGGUAGUUGGUGGGAUAAAAGCUUACCAAGCCGACGAUCUGUAGCUGGUCUGAGAGGACGACCAGCCACACUGGGACUGAGACACGGCCCAGACUCCUACGGGAGGCAGCAGUGGGGAAUUUUGGACAAUGGGCGAAAGCCUGAUCCAGCAAUGCCGCGUGCAGGAUGAAGGCCUUCGGGUUGUAAACUGCUUUUGUACGGAACGAAAAGGCUCUGGCUAAUACCUGGGGCACAUGACGGUACCGGAAGAAUAAGCACCGGCUAACUACGUG